AUAUAUAUCUUAUCAUAUCACAGACGUGUGGUAUCAAGAAGUGGCGUUUUAGUAACAAACAAUGUAAACAAUUGAAUAUCAUUUCAAUAAAUUGUUAUUAAAAAAAUGUCUUCGCACACUAUACCGAUAGUCGAAGAAUUAGCUAAGGACUACGCAAAUUAUUUAAAACUAGAUUUAUCCAGUCAAAUGAAGAAUUUUCAUGAUGCAAUCGAAGAUGUAAUGAUGCGUUUAGAAGAGUUUCAGUCAAUUAUUGAAAUGGUUCAGUCUGAAAAUAGUCAAUGUACCGAUCAACAUAUCCCAAAACUACAAGACAUGCAACAAGAGGUCAUAAAUCUUAGUAGACGAAUAGAUGCUUUAGAACAUGUUAUUGCGAUGAUUAAUGUAAAUCUAACAACAUUAGAAGCUGCCGUUGAUAAUGCAGAAGCUGAAUUAGGAAUCUCUGAUAGAUUAUUUGGAAUGUUAAAUCGUUUAUCUUUCUUUAAAAAAACACAAGAACCUGUGGUACCUAAUAAAUUAUCAAUGUACGAGCCUCCAACAAUUUAUAGAACCAAUGACUAUUUUAAGAGUGAAUGAAUAAAAUACUUUAUUUUAUAGAGAUAUAUAAUAGAUUUAUCAAUUAUUUUCAUACAUUAAUAUAUGCUACAUUUUGAAGAAAAUCUUCAAUAUUUAAGAGAUAUAAAAUGUUUUCUGACAUAAAAUGUUACAGAUAAAUGUUCAUUAAUGAAUCAAAUAAAAUUAUACCUUGAAUUUA